ACAACUUUUAGCAACGGAUCUCUUGGCUCUCCCAUCGAUGAAGAACGCCAGCGAAAUGCGAUAAGUAAUGUGAAUUGCAGAAUUCAGUGAAUCAUCGAAUCUUUGAACGCACCUUGCGCCCUCUGGUAUUCCGGAGGGCAUGCCUGUUUGAGUGUCAUUAA
rnacentral:rRNA from 1 species